rnacentral:lncRNA from 1 species
UCCAACUUUGUGAACUUAAAAACGAGAAUAUGACAAGCCCUUAUAAGUGGUGCCUCCUUUAAUCAACACAUCACCGGAUCCCCAAACUAAAUCCAGAAAAGAAGAGGUAAAACAAACUCAACAUUUUUGACGAAAAGAGAACACAACAUAGUAUUCAAAUUUUCCAGAACAAUCACUUAUUCAAGUUCUGGCCAUGGAUUGCAGCACUCAAACAUACACAUAACAUCGCUUGCCAUAAGCCUAGUCUUGCUUCGCAGCUACGGUGGGAACAUCCGAUCCUUUGGCUGGGAUCUCAUGAACCACCUCGACCGGCCUCUUCUUUUGCUGUCCUUGCCCCACCGACGACCGGUAGUCCACCGUCUGCACUGUCUUCGUCUCCUUCCCUCCUGCAUCCGGCGGAGUUUUGGUGGCGGCGGUGGCCGUCGCAGUGCCCUGCGAUAAUAUGUAGCAAGCUCAACGACAACCAAAUUAAAAGGCAUAGAU